rnacentral:misc_RNA from 1 species
UUUUUUGUGUGCAUCAGAUGAAAAUGAAGGAAAUGCGGGCAAACUUUGAUCGUCAGUUCCAUGUCGUAGAUGGGCGAGGGAUUGGGCUUCUUUAUGGGCCUACACUUCUCUUCUCCUUCAUCGAAUUUAGUUUCUCCAGUCUCCAUUCGCCUCUCAGCCUGGCAAUGAAAGUAUCAGCCUUGGCGUUCACAUCUGGACUGGGACAGAACACGGAUCCACCGCUUCCGUCUCCACCCUCCAUCAUGUUGACCGUCUCCGUUGACUGCUUAUCCUGCUCCUCCAACUCUGGAGAGCUGCAUCGUGAGCUGUGAGC